UCCAGUUUAGGAACCAAUGAGUGUUUAUUUGGGUUCCUAACAAGAAUCUGGGUGAGGCAGGGUUGGCUCCAAAGCAGCACCACUGAGAAGCCCAUCAGCUGUGACUCCUGAGAGAGAGCCCGAGUGCUGAAGCCCUCGCACGCACGGCUAAAGGAAGCGCAGGACAUCCAAGCCUCCCUCUGCUGCUCAGCCCCUGCUUCCCGUCUCCUGGUCGGGUUCCUCCCCCAGCAAGUGCUCUCAGCGUCUGCAAUCUUGGAGAGGGAGCCCUCAUGACUCUUGGAUGAUACAUCAGCAGUGAAUCCCGGUGCGACAGUACCACGGAUAGCAUGGCUUGAUCAGAAAUAGAUGCCCACCUCUCCUAGGCUGUCUGUUUGACCCCCAAAAGGACUGAUCCCCACCUGCCUCCGGGGACAUCUUUGCUACUUAGUAACGGCUUUCUCCCUGGGUGCUGCAGCAGGCCGCUCACUGGCAUUCACUGAGCACACGCUGUUGGUACUUUCUGAGGUACUGACUGGAUUGUGUCCUUCUCUGGGGGCCUCUGCCACGGCGUCCCCAGAACCCGAUACAGACACACCACAGAUAAGUUGAUAAACUCUGCCGACAGAGCUGGAAGCCCAUCGAAAGAAGACUGUGUCUUAUAUCCCAACAGAACGGCAGCGUCUAAAGUGUCCAUGGUGCUGGCAGGCCCGCUGCCCCUGACGGUGAUAGCGAAGGGAGCUGGAGAAGGAGGGUGGGUCACCCUGGAGGAGAAAGGAGCUUGGCCGAGUGGAAGUACUGGUAAAAACAUUCCCAGCAUUCCCAGCAUUCCCAGCACUUAAAACUCCAGCGGGCCGUGCCUGGGUCCUCUAUUGCACUCUGAAAGGCAGCAGCCCGCUUAACCAAGACUUAGACCCGUUGAGUAGGAAGGUGUCUGUGCUUGCGUUGGUCAUGUUUCUGAUUCCUGUGCCAAGAAGCCUGAGCAAAGCAACUCACGGAAGAAAGGAUCUACGUGGGCUCCCAGUUCCAGGGUUCAAUCCUUGCUGUCCAUUAGGACGGAGAUUCCUGUUUCUCAAUCUUACUGACAUGCAUGGAGGCUUGUCUCCCAGGCCAUUCUAGAUCCCGCCAAGUUGACAACCAGUAUCAACCAGGAGAGUAAUACUGUACACAAGGCUAAGCCCAAGCAACCAAGCGCACUCUGAGGACAUCUUAUGUGUCUAGAACCGUACUCAGAGAAAUGGGGUCCUGGAAGAAAGCGAAGACUCCUUAACCAUGACAUCGUGUCCCCUAACGGCUCUACAACCUCCUCUCUGGUCUCCGUGUGUGCCGCGUAGCUCCCAUUGGCACGGCGAGAGCCAUCUGAAAUAAUUCCUGGGGGUGUGCGUGUGACCUUACCGGGCCUGAGUUCCAUGGCCAUGGCUGUGAGAUGCAGAGGGAUGGAAGUGCCGUUUGGCCGGCAUCGCCAUUUGGCCGGCAUCCGUAGCAUUGUGGGCUGGGAGAAGGUAUGGGGAGAUCUCAAUUUAUCUGACUGGAAGUCGGAUUUCAAGCAUGAUCCGUGUCCGGCCUUUUCCAAGACUAACUGUAGCUCAGGGUCCAGGGCUGUUGGGAAUGGUGUAAAUCAACCUUAACAGAUGGUCACACUGUCCUCAGAAACCCUGCCUCAUACGAAUGGGAACUUAGUGUGUGGCAUUGCCCUGUGGUGGACCUCAAAGAGCAGCUGUAAGAGACCAGGGUCAUAGGCUCUCAAAUACAAGCUAUUUCUCUGCGGAGGGUAAAGGGCAUCCCUGAGCGCAUUAUUAGGGCCUGGCAUGCAGGUGGCGGCCUCGGGGGUAUAAUUCACAGACCUUCAGAAAAGCUUUGUCCUGUCAGUUGAGUACUGAGAAAUGCCGCCUUCUUGUAACAAUGAUCACCUGAUUAUUUUUAUGCUAGUGUGACAAGAUAAUGGCCGGAAUGGCUUAAGAGGAGGGAGGGUUUACUCUGGCUUCUGGUUCAGAGGGCUCCAUUUAUCGUGGAGGGUGAGAGAUAGCGCACCACCUUGGAUGACAGCAGCAGAAGUAUGUGACACAGGCUGUUGACAUCAUAGCGACCAGGAAGCCAAGAGUCAGGCAGGAAGGAGGGGCCAGGUAGAACUCGCAAGGCCUGCCUCUAGUGACCUCUUGCCGCUAGCCAGAGUUCCCAGACCCUCCCCAGUAGCGCCUGCUGUGGAGAAUGCCUGCGGGACAUGGGCUUGUGGGGGACAUCUCACAUCCAAACAUCAUGCAUGGUAAGCAGGUGGCUGCAGGCCCGUGGAUGUAAAUAGGGGAGAGUUUGUUUAGAGGUAGCAAAUCCUGUGAACAUACUCUGAAAGUUGGGUCACUUGGUGUCCCUGGGAAAAGAAAUCCCCAAGGUGGCCUCAAGCACUAAAUUUUUCAAUACAAUGUCGUUCAGUUCAUGGAUGGAAUGCCAAUUGGCAAAGAUGCAUAUGCAGCCUGUAAACCAACUGCCUCUGAGAGCUCUUGACAGUGAUUCUGAUCAUCAUGGUGGCUUAGCCAGCGGCAUCUAUGUGUCCCUGUGUCCCAUGUCCCAUGCUUGGUACCCAUGGCUCUUACGAGAGCCCUGAAGGUAGAUAUAAAUAUUCCCCUUUUUGAGGCACAUUUAUAUCCUCAGUAUUUAUGUCCUCACUGUUUCUGUCCUCAGUAUUUCUGUGGUCAGUGGAGAAAAACACCUGGGUUUUUCCUGGUUUUUCUUCCAGGAGACCAGAGCUUGUCUCCCAAUUUCAUACCAGGCCCUUCACAACCCACCCUAUGAAGUCUAGCUCCAAGGGAUCUGACAUCCUCUUCCGGUCUCUGUGGGUUCUGCACUCAAGCACACACAGACAAACACACACAACUGAAAACAAGUAUUGUUUCAAAACACUCGUGUCUAUAGGCAGGUCGUGGACACUGGAGGAGAGGUCUAGAAGUCCCUGGUCUUAACGGUGCUGCUCUGUCCCUGCUGCGGUCUUACAGUCCAGACGACUGAAGGUUCAAGAGCAAGGUGCAGCAGGGCCAGUCUCUUCUGUGGCCUCUCUCCUUGGUCCUCCUGCUGUUUCCUUGAUGUUUUUCUAUCGCUAUUCUUCCAUUCCUGGUGCCUCUCUAAGGAGCUAUCACGGUUAAUCUUGGCUGUCAACUUGAUUGACUGAAUCAAUGGCCAAAUAUAUGCCUGGGCAGGGUCUGGUGUGUGCAGGGGCUGGAUUUCUUAGGAAGAUAGCUCGAAGUGGGGAGACCCUCCAGAAUGGAGAGCAACUUUUGACAGUGGUCCAGUUAUAGGGGUCUGAAAAGAAGUCGGGUGUUUUUCAGUCUUCCAAGGAGGACCCAAGACCAACAGCUCGUCAGGAACUCCUAGGUCUGCUGUAGAAAGAGAUGUAAGUACCCACCUGUGGCGCCGACCACACCCUUUUGGGCAUGGUCACAGGUGCGUACAGGAGGGAAGGAUUUAGGUUGGCUCUGGGAGGCGCGCUCUCUCUCUUGCUGCUGGCCGGGUCACAGAAGACAGCCUGGGAGGAUCCUUGGAGCUGGAAGCUGGGGCAGCCACCCGCCUCUUAUGUAAGUAAGUGUUCUCUCUCUGAAUAAACUUUUCAACCUGU